rnacentral:lncRNA from 1 species
CCGGUGUAAUAGUUGAUCUCAGCUCAGUGUGUUUUAGCUUAUGUUUGCUAAUAAAGGGUUAACAUUUACGUGAUUAUUUCAAUAAUUGUACAUCGACAAGACAUAUUAUCAAUCAUAGAUUUCAUAGUACGGAAACAAAAUAUAAGCUAAAAACAAACAAACAAACAAACUUCAUUCUCGUUUUCAAAAAACUCGCCUUCACCCUUCUUCACCUUCUUCUCCACUUGCUUCGCGAAAUACUUAUCAUCAAUCUUCUCCACAUUUACUCCACUUACAUCAACUUUCGUCGACGUGGCAAUUACAUAAGCUUGAUUCACUCUCCUUAACGGAAACCCAUUAACCUUAAACAGCCCACAAACAAGCAAUACCCCAGACCCAACUAGUUGCUUCAAAAACACAACUCUUUCUCCGUUAAACCUCUAGCAAGUACAAUCAACAGUGUUCCAAGUGUAUUACUUGCUCGAAACUUCUUGUGUUUUGGACAUUUCAGCGAUUAUUUCAAUAAAUGUAUAUCGACAAUACAUAUUAUCAUCAUAAAAUCAUAAAUUUCAUAAUACGAAAAAACAAAAUCUAAGCAAGAAUUGAACAAACAAACAAACAAACAAACCUCUUUCUUCUCUUCAAAAAACUCUCCUUCUCCCUUCUCUUCACUGCUUCGCGAAAUAUCAUCUAUCUUCUCCACAUUAAACCCACUUAAAUCUACCUUCGUAGACAUACCAAUAACAUACGCUUAAUUAACUCUCCUUAAUGGAACCCUAUUAACCUUAAACGGCGCACUCACAAGCAACAACCCAGAACCAACGAGAGUUGCUUCAAAAACACUACUCUUUUUCCCUUACUUUCUCUAAGCUUCGUGUAUUUUGGCUUAUGUUUGUUAAUUAGGGGUUCACAUUUACGUGACUAUUUCAAUAAAUGCAUAUCGGCAAUACAUAAUAUCAAUGUAAAAUCAUAAAUUUCAUAAUACGGGAAAAAAAAUAAGCUAAAAUCAAGCAAAUAAACCUCUUUCUUCUCUUCAAAAAACUCACCUUCUCCCUUCUUCACCUUCUAAUCCACUUGCUUCGCAAAAUACUUGUCAUCUAUCUUCUCCACAUUAACCCAAAUUACAUCUACCUUCGUAAACGUACCAAUUACAUAAGCCUAAUUAACCCUCCUAAACGGAACCCCAUUUACCUUAAACGGCCCACUAACAAGCAAUAACCCCGAACCAACAAGUUGCUUCAAAAACACAACUUUUUCCCCUUAAACCUCCCAGCGAAACACUGUUCCCAGUUCGUGUGUUUUAGCUUAUGUUUGUUAAUUAAGGGUUAACAUUACUCGAUCAUUUCAAUAAAUGUAUAUCGACAAUAUGCAUUAUUGACUUGAAAUUAUAAAACUCAUAAUGCAAAAACAAAAUCUAACCACGAAAUGAAACAAUAAACAAAAAUAAACCAAAAAAAAAAACCUCUUUCUUCUCUUCAAAAAACUCUCCUCCACCCUUCUUCACCUUCUUCUCCACCUCCUUCGUGAAGUACUUAUCAUCAAUUUUCUCCACAUUAACACCCAACACAUCAACUUUCGUCGACGUCUCGAUUACAUAAGCCUGAUUAAUCCUCCUUAGCGGAACCCCAUUAACCUUAAACAGCCCACUAACAAGCAACAACCCAGACCUAACAAGUUGCUUCAAAACACUGCUCUUUUCCCUUUCCUUGCACAAAGCUUCGUGUGUUUUAGUUUAUGUUUGUUAAUUAGGGUUAACAUUUACGCGAUUAUUUCAAUAAAUGUCUAUCGACAGUAAAUAUUAUCAAUGUAAAAUCAUAAAUUUCAUAAUAUGGAAACAAAAUAUAAGCUAAAAACAAACAAACAAACCUCUUUCUUCUCUUCAAAAAAACUCUCCUUCACCCUUCUUCUCUGCUUGCUUAGCGAAAUACUUAUCAUCAAUUUUCUCCACAUUUACUCCACUCACAUCAACUUCCGUCCACGUAGAAAUUACAUACGCUUGAUUAACUCUCCUUAACGGAACCCCAUUAACCUUAGACGGCCCACUAACAAGCAACAACCCCAAACCAACAAGUUGCUUCAAAAACAAUAUUCUUUUUCCCUUACUUGCUCAAAGCUUCGUGUGUUUUGGCUUAUGUUUGUUAAUUAGGGGUUAACAUUAUGCAAUUAUUACAAUAAAUGUAUAUCGACAAUAUAUCAUUGACUAAAAACUAAUAAAUUUCAUAAUGCAAAAACAAAGCCUAAGCAAGAAUUGAACAAAUAAACAAACAAACCUCUUUCUUCUCUUCAAAAAUAUCUCCUUCUCCCUUCUUCACCUUCUUCCCCGCCUCCUUCGCGAAAUACCUGUCAUCUAUCUUCUCCACAUUUACACCACUCACAUCAACUUUCGUCGACGUAGCAAUUACAUAAGCUUGAUUCACCCUUCUUAAUGGAACCCCAUUAACCUUAAAUGGUCCCGUAACAAGCAACAACCCAAACCCUACAAGUUGCUUCAAAAACACUACUCUUUUUCCCUUAAACCUCCCAGCAGGUACAAUCAACACUCAACACUGUUCCAGGUGCAUUACGUGCGCUAAGCUUAGUGUGUUUUGGAUUAUGUUUGUUAAUUAGGGGUUACCAUUACGCGAUCAUUUCAAUAAAUGCACACCGACAAUAUGCAUUAUUGACUUAAAAUUAAUAAAUUUCAUAAUGCGAAAACAAAAUCUAAGCAAGAAUAGAACAAACAAACCUCUUUCUUCUCUUCAAAAAUCUCUCCUUCUCCCUGCUUCACCUUCUUCUCCACUUGUUUCGCGAAAUACUUAUCAUCAAUUUUCUCCACACUAAUCCCACCUACAUCAACUUUCGUAGACGUCCAAAUUACAUAAGCCUGAUUAAUUCUUCUUAACGGGACCCCAUUGACCUUUAACGAUCCACUAACAAGUAACAACCCAGACCCAACAAGUUGCUUCAAAAACACUACUCUUUUUCCCUUGCUCUAAGCGUGGUGUCUUUUGGCUUAUGUUUGUUAAUUAGGGGUUAACAUUACGCGAUCAUUUCAAUAAAUGUAUAUCGACAAUACACAUUAUCAACGUAAAAUCAUAAAUUCCACAAUAAGGAAACAGAAUAUAAGCAUAAAAUGCACACACAAGCGCCUUUGUUCCCUUCAAAAAACUCACCUUCACCCUUCUUCACCUUCUUCUCCACUUGCUUCCCGAAAUACUUACCUAUUUUCUCCACAUUAACCACACUCACAUGAACCCAGACCCAACAAGUUGCUUCAAAAACCUCUUUUUCCCUUACUUGCUCUAAGCUUCGUUUGUUUUAGCUUGAGUUUGUUAAUUAGGGGUUAACAUUACGCGAUCAUUUCAAUAAUGCAAAUAAUAAAUUUCGUAAUGCAAAAACAAAAUCUAAGCAAGAAAUGACCAAACAAAUAAACAAACAAACCUCUUUCUUCUCUUCAAAAAACUCUCCUUCUCCCUUCUUCACCUUCUUCUCCACUUGCUUCGCGAAAUACUUAUCAUCAAUCUUCUCCACAUUAACCCCACUCACAUCAACUUUCGUCGAUGUAGCAAUUACAUAAGCCUGAUUAACUCUCCUCAAUGGAACCCCAUUAACCUUAAAUGGACCC